rnacentral:misc_RNA from 1 species
GCUAUGGAGGUGAAGGACAGCUUGGUUUAGGCUCCAGGAUUAAAAUAGUGGCUUCUCCUCAUCUUAUACCAUGUUUGGAUGCUUCUUCGCAUGGACCUGACCGGAGCCUUGGGAGUCCUCGAGGAAGCAUUACCACUGGGAGUCAGAAACGUAAAGCCUUGGGGAGCUACAUAAAGAGUAUUUCUUGUGGUGGCCGGCAUAGUGCAGUAAUCACAGAUACUGGGGUGCUGCUUACAUUUGGCUGGGGAUUGUAUGGACAGUGUGGACUAGGUAAUACAAAUGAUGUGCUGAGGCCAACUUGUGUGUCUUCUCUAUUGAACACUAGAAUAGAAGCCGUGGCAGGUGGACUGUGGCAUUCUGUGUGUUUAUGUGAUCAUGGGCGAGUGUAUACUUUUGGGGGAAAUCAGUUUGGCCAAUUGGGUCUAGGCACAGGCACUGACCACACAGAGACAUCACCUAGACUUGUGGAUGCCCCAAUACUGGAGAACAAGAACGCCAAGGUAGUGUCUUGUGGAGCUCGCCAUAGCGCCAUAAUGACAGGGGAUAGCAAAAUUUAUAGCUGGGGAUGGAACAAGUAUGGU